GGUUGAUUAGUGUAGCGGUCAUCACAUCGGAUUCUGAAACCCAUGAUAGCGGUUCGAUUCCGGGAUCGACCU